GACGAACGCUGGCGGCGUGCUUAACACAUGCAAGUCGAACGGUGAAGGGACCGGUUUUUGCUGGUACUGGAGGCGUGGCGAACGCGGGAGUGACACGCAAGGAACCUGCCCCCUUCUUCGGGAUAACCGCAGGAAAGCUUAGCCUAUACGGGCAAUUGUCCGCCUGCUGCAUGGAGGGGGUGGGAAAGAUAUUGGUUCGGUGGGGGGCGGGCUCGGGGCGUAUCAGCUGGGUGGCGGGGUGAUGGCCUACCAAGGCGACGACGGGUAGCCGGCCUGAGAGGCGGAUCAGACACACUGGAACUGAGACACGGUCCCGACGCCUACGGGAGGCAGCGGGGGGGAAUAUUGGACAAUGGGCGCAAGCCUGCUCCAGCCAUACCGCGUGGGUGAAGAAGGCUUUCGUGUUGUAAAGCCCUUUUGUUGGGAAAGAAAAGCAGCAGGUUAAUACCCCGCUGUUCUGACGGUACCCAAAGAAUAAGCACCGGCUAACUUCGUG
rnacentral:rRNA from 1 species